GAAUCUGGCUCUAGGUCGGGGACAACCACUGGAAACGGUGGCUAAUACCGGAUGUGCCGAGAGGUGAAAGAUUAAUUGCCUAGAGAUGAGCUCGCGUCUGAUUAGCUAGUAGGUGUGGUAAGAGCGCACCAAGGCGACGAUCAGUAGCUGGUCUGAGAGGAUGAUCAGCCACACUGGGACUGAGACACGGCCCAGACUCCUACGGGAGGCAGCAGUGGGGAAUUUUCCGCAAUGGGCGAAAGCCUGACGGAGCAAUACCGCGUGAGGGAGGAAGGCUCUUGGGUUGUAAACCUCUUUUCUCAAGGAAGAACAAAAUGACGGUACUUGAGGAAUAAGCAUCGGCUAACUCCGUGCCAGCAGCCGCGGUAAUACGGAGGAUGCAAGCGUUAUCCGGAAUGAUUGGGCGUAAAGCGUCCGCAGGUGGCUAUGUAAGUCUGCUGUUAAAGAGUGAGGCUCAACCUCAUAAGAGCAGUGGAAACUACAUGGCUAGAGUGCGUUCGGGGCAGAGGGAAUUCCUGGUGUAGCGGUGAAAUGCGUAGAGAUCAGGAAGAACACCGGUGGCGAAAGCGCUCUGCUAGGCCGCAACUGACACUGAGGGACGAAAGCUAGGGGAGCG
rnacentral:rRNA from 1 species